CAUACACUUCCCUCCUACUACUUAAGUCAUUUCGAUUUGGAAGUAAGACAAAUACAUGAAAUAAGUUUCCGUAUAAUAAGAGUUUAUAAAUAACAAUAUAUAUUAUUGUUUUUUCUAAACUGGACACUCGGUGUGAACAAAGACGUGAGGGUAAGUUACUAAACAAAGUUUAUCACACUAUAUAAGGAAGUUCAAAAGACCAACUGCAGUUCCAGCCAUGGAAAGAUGCCAGUGUGCAGUCUUAGAAAAUAGUACAGAGCACGUUUUUUGUUCGUCACAUAGCAAAGAAACUACUUUUCUAUGCACAGAGUGUAGGCAAUUCAUUUGUGAUCAAUGCGUGGAAUCAGUACACGCAAGGCAUGCCUUAAAGUCAAUUCCUAGACCAAACAACGUUAUACUAAGCAAUGAAAUACUUGAACAACAUAUUCAAAUACAUAAAGAAGUCUGGAAGGGUGAAUUGGACGAACAGUUGAACGCGAUGGAUCUUCAUGCAGCAAAACUUGUAGAAAUUAUAAAUAAAGUAAGAGAUUCCUACAAGGAGGAAAUCCUCCAAAAAAAUACACAGAACAAGUCAAUUCUUAACAAGAUCGAAGAAGAGUCUGACAACAACAAUCCAUCUACAUUAUCGUUGAUACAAACAACUUUUACACCUUCAAAAAUAGAUUUUCUACAAAUAAAGCGACAAUUUGGAGAACUGAGCGCAAGUGAAAAAAAUUUUAGUCUUCAGCCAGGAUUAUUAAAUGGCUGGCCCCGUUUACAUACAGUUAAAAAUCUGGCAACAGAAAAACUUCAAGGUUUUGUCUAUCGGGGUAUGUCAUCUGAUAUCGAGGACGAGUAUGAUUAUUGUGAUGUAUAACAUAAUAUUUUGAUUUGUUUGGAAACAAGUGAAGUCUAAAUUUGAUUUAAAAAUUAUCAAACUGAAUAUCGUUUCGAAAUUAUAAUUUAUCAUUUGGCUGAUUAUUUUAAGCAAGCUUAAUAAAAUAGUGUUAGAUACAAUUGUAUAAAGAAUUAGGAUACCAACGGUGGUACGUCUAUCAAACGUCCUUUCCUAUACCUGUUCAAAAUAAGACAAAAGUUACAAAGGCCAUUUAAAAGCCAUAAGUCAUGGGAAACUGACAACGCCAUGACAAAAACGGAAGAUGGCAAAAUGACAAACGCGUUCACAACUCACUUCAUAGGAAACAAAAGACUGUGCAACCCAAAACUUCACCAAAUAUUGGGGGAAUGGGGUCGAAGGUGCACUCGAAGGAUACGCAGAUUAUGCUCUACUAGUGCCAACCGUCAGAUGUGAGUAGUCUACUUAAAAACAUGAACACCGGUUAUGUGAACUUUUAACUAUAUAUUCCGAAUUAUGGUUUUUACCCACAUUUCAUCGUGGAAAUGUAAUAGUGCGAGCUAGGCAUUGUUCUAUGGAAAUAUAUUAUUGAUUUUGUUUGUCAAAAUAAUGAAGUAUAGCGGAAAAUUGGCGGCGAGCAGCGAUCGGCUGUUUAUAGUUUCAUUGCAACAAAUUAUGAACUGUUUGAGCAAUUCUUUUUUAAUUUCAAUAUAAUUAUGACAACAUGGAGGUCAAGUUAAUAUUGACGAUUUGACUUUUGCCGUUCAGCAGUUUUAGUCCUUGAUUGAGUGAACCGUUUAACCAAUUUUUUGAAAAUUCAAAUUCUUGUUACCGAUGAGAAAAUGGAGGGACAAGUUGGAUAUUGACUCUUUUCACCUUCACCAUGCAAAAAUAUGCUCCUUGAUUAAUUAGGAAAUAAACACGUAACGUUUUAGGUCAAACAAGCCUGAAAGUGCUUAAAACAUAAAAAGGAAAGAAUAAAAAAAACAAAAACCCUCCAAAAAUAUAUAUUUCCUUAGGACAAUGCUCCGCUUGUAGUGUAUCAUUUCAAAUACAAAAAAUGGGUCAAAUAAUUUUUUGGAUUGUACCGUGUAAAGUUCACAUCAUAGAGAACACAUGUACUCAGUUUCAAAUUGACGUGUUUACAUGUUCAUGGUAGACUACUUUAAUCCAAAGCUUAAUUAUGAUAUGGUACGGAAAAACCGGAAGGAUAAAUGCACGCGCGGAUUCAGCUAUUUAAAUAACAGUAGUGAAAGCAGGUUUGUCAUUUUCAACUCAAUGUUAUAAUUGUAAUGAAAUCGUAUGUUGAUAAAUAUGUUGAUCAGAUACCAUUUGUAAAAAGAUACAUAUUUGUACAGAAUACACGUUAAAUCAGUGAAAACAAAGUAUUUUCGCUUGUCUUGAGAAAAAGUUAUUGAACUCUUUUUCCAAACAAUGCAUAACAUUUUGUUAUAAACUUUUCUUUUCCGAUAAUACAAAAUUUAAAGGUUACAUACUGCGUUGCUGUACAGAUAGUUAAUCAUUUUAUAUUUGUAUACAUUGUGAGGCCGUUUCAGUAUUAUUUUUUAAAACUAAACCCACACUUUGAAAGUGGAAUGAUCUUAUCAAAUUAAUAACUGUCUGAACGAAAACGGCACAAAAUUCGAGAAUUCAAUUUAGAGAAAAUUCUUGUUUGGUCACCAGAUUUACGACUAUAUUUUUUUUAUCGAUUACAAAUAAUAAAUACGAAAUUCAGAAACAGAACAGGUUUUAUACGUUCUUAAAUCGAAACUGACUGUUUCCAAAUAAUCUUUUGUGUAGGAUAAUUAUUGUCAUUUAUACAGUAACUGUUGCAUAUUACUAUUAAAGUUGUAGCAAAUUUUAUAAUAAAUAA